AAAUAAUUCAAGUAUAUAUUACCUUACAUUCAAAAUAACUUACCUAAUUGGUCUUCACUUUUAAAGUGGCAAAGUUUGGCCUUGAUUUUGAGUGCAAUUAUUAAACGCGCAGAGCACAACCCAGACUGGCGUUUGAUAACGAAGUACGAGUCGAAUAAACCAGAAACUAUCAAAAGAUGAUAUUACAUUUGUAAGCUCGUGUUACGAUUUUUGCGCAAUUUCAUUGGCCAAGCGCAUUGUAUUUCGAACGCUGAUCAAACGCGAUAUAUUAAAUACGACGAUUUCAAUGAAGU